rnacentral:rRNA from 1 species
UACGGGGGGGGCAAGCGUUGUUCGGAAUUACUGGGCGUAAAGGGUUCGUAGGUGCCAACUAAGUCAGACGUGAAAUCCCUCAGCUUAACUGGGGAACUGCGCCCAAAACUACCGUCGACUUGAGGGAGAUUAGAGGGUGAGCGGAACUUGAGGGUGGAGGCGGAUUGAAAUGGUGCGUUGGAUAAUCCUAAUGGGAACACCAGUCGGCGAAAAGGC